GGAGAGGUGGCAGAGUGGUCUAUCGCCAUAGUCUUGAAAACUAUUAACCAUGAAAGUGGUUCGUGGGUUCGAAUCCCACCCUCUCCG
rnacentral:tRNA from 1 species